ACGCAUUGUUUGUAGUACAGUUCCACUACACCUUGGUGUCAUAAUUUAUUCACUCUAUCCUGUUUCCGGCGUACGUUUAUGUUUCAAUUUACCUCAAAUUAUGAGAGAUAAUGAUUCUACCCGGGGGGUAGAAAGUCUGGUUACACACUACAGCUGCUACAUUUUCCAUGUACAGUCGAGGAUACCGUUGUGCAAGAAGAUCGUAGAACUGUUCGCUAAUGUCGGCAAGAUCCAACAGUUGCGCCAGAAACCAUUGCAGAAACUUUGGGAGCAGAUGUUUCAACGAGAACAACAACUAGGAAAUUACACGAAGUUGGACUAUUAUAGCAUGCUGCAAGGUUAGGUGUAAGUGAUUUAUUGAUCAAAUUAAUAUAAAAUACGAAAAAAUGUAUAAAUAUGACA